rnacentral:lncRNA from 1 species
GACCGCAGAGGUUAAACCCUGAACAGUUGGGGCAAGUAUGGACACAACAUUCAAGCUGGAUUCAGCUCUAAAUUUGGAUUGUGAUUAAAUAGUUGACACAGCAUAGGUUUCUGACACAGAAUGAAUGUGGUCUAAUGAACUUAAAAUAUUUUUUUUGCCUUUGAGCAAUUCACUAUGCUGUUGAAUAUUAAUCCUCUCAAAAAAAUGUUUGAAGAAAUUUUCUUUUUAUUUAUGAAAUCUGAAAUGAGAAAAAUUUAACCCCCCACCCCCAUUUGUUUUCACAUCCCCUUUUCCCUUUUUCCAAAACUGAUCUCAAUUCAAAUUUCUAAUGGAGUUUGCAACAAUAACUACUCAUUUAAAUACAUCAUAAAAUAUUAAAAUGUCAAAUAAAGUGCU